CCUACGGGAGGCAGCAGUGGGGAAUAUUGCACAAUGGGGGAAACCCUGAUGCAGCAACGCCGCGUGAGUGAGGAAGUAUUUCGGUAUGUAAAGCUCUUUCAGUAGGGAAUAGAAAAGAAGGUACCUGAAAAAGUUGCAUCGGCUAACUACGUGCCAGCAGCCGCGGUAAUACGUAGGGGGCAAGCGUUAUCCGGAUUUACUGGGUUUAAAGGGAGCGUAGACGGAAAGGCAAGUCAGAAGUGAAAGCCCAAGGCUCAACCAUGGGACUGCCUUUGAAACUGUAAAACUUGAGUACGGUAGAGGUAGGAGGAAUGCCUGGUGUAGCGGUGAAAUGCAUAGAUAUUAGGAAGAACACCAGUGGCGAAGGCAUCUUACUGGACCAAAACUGACGUUGAGGCACGAAAGCGUGGGGAGCAAACAGGAUUAGAUACCCCGGUAGUC
rnacentral:rRNA from 1 species